rnacentral:rRNA from 1 species
AACAAACGCUGGCGGCGUGCCUAAUACAUGCAAGUCGAACGGGGAAAGCUUUCGGGUGAGUACUAGUGGCGCACGGGUGAGUAACGCGUGGAUAAUCUGCCUUAGAGUGGGGGAUAACUAGUCGAAAGAUUCGCUAAUACCGCAUAAGACCACAAGAACUGCGGUUCAAGAGGUCAAAGGUUUUUCGCUCUAAGAUGAGUCCGCGUAAGAUUAGCUAGUUGGUGAGGUAAAGGAUCACCAAGGCAACGAUCUUUAACUGGUCUGAGAGGAUGAUCAGUCACAAUGAAACUGAGACACGGUCCAGACUCCUACGGGAGGCAGCAGUAGGGAAUAUUGCACAAUGGAGGAAACUCUGAUGCAGCGACGCCGCGUGAGUGAUGAAGGCCUUCGGGUCGUAAAGCUCUGUCGCAGGGGAAUAACACAAUGAAUGUACCCUGUAAGAAAGGAUCGGCUAACUUCGUGCCAGCCGCCGCGGUAACAC